UCCAGGGUAGCCUAGUGGACAUGGCAUCUGCCCGGUAAGGUAAGCGGAAGGUUGUGGGUUCGAUUCCCGCCCCUGGAC